UACGAAGGGGGCUAGCGUUGUCCGGAAUCACUGGGCGUAAAGGGCGCGUAGGCGGCUCAUGAAGGCUGUGGUGAAAGUCCGGGGCUCAACCUCGGAUCGGCCGUGGCGACUCGUGGGCUGGAGCACUGUAGAGGCGGGUGGAAUUCCGGGUGUAGCGGUGGAAUGCGUAGAGAUCCGGAAGAACACCGGUGGCGAAGGCGGCGACCUGGUCCUUGACUGACGCUGAGGCGCGAAAGCGUGGGGAGCAAACAGG
rnacentral:rRNA from 1 species